GAUGAACGCUGGCGGCGUGCCUAACACAUGCAAGUCGAACGAAGCUUGACGGAUGAUUUCUUCGGAAUGAAACCAGAUAUGACUUAGUGGCGGACGGGUGAGUAACACGUGAGCAACCUGCCUUUCAGAGGGGGAUAACGGCUGGAAACGGUCGCUAAUACCGCAUGAUGUGUUCGGAUGGCAUCAUCUGAACAUCAAAGAUUUAUCGCUGAAAGAUGGGCUCGCGUCUGAUUAGAUAGUUGGUGGGGUAACGGCCUACCAAGUCUACGAUCAGUAGCCGGACUGAGAGGUUGAACGGCCACAUUGGGACUGAGAUACGGCCCAGACUCCUACGGGAGGCAGCAGUGGGGAAUAUUGCACAAUGGGGGAACCCCUGAUGCAGCAACGCCGCGUGAAGGAUGACGGUUUUCGGAUUGUAAACUUCUUUUCUUAGUGACGAAGACAGUGACGGUAGCUAAGGAAUAAGCAUCGGCUAACUACGUG
rnacentral:rRNA from 1 species